GAGAGAGAGAGAGAGAGAGGUUUCAUGUAUGUGAGUUUUAGUAUAAGCUUUUGUGUGUUAUCCAAGUAGGAGAGAGGAUCUAAAAGAAUUUAUCAUAAAUUUACUAAACUCAGGACUGGUCUUAAUCAAUACUUUAUCUUUUAAUUUCGGUUAAUUUGGCUGCUAAAAUAUUUUGGAUUCUCCCUCUUACUUGGAUAACACACAAAAGUCUAUACUAAAACUUAUAUCACACAAUACUGAGAAGACUUCCUAAAACCCAAUUUGUGGUCAGGCUCUAGGACUGCUUUGUGCUUAGUGUACCCAUAGCAACUAUGAGUUAGAGAUAAAAAUGAGCAUGAGUUUAAAGCAGUUCAAUCCAAACUCAGCUGAUUUCAAAUGAAUUAUCAAAAGAAAAAAAAAUUAUUUUAUUACAUGAAAACUGGAAUGGAUAUCAGCUGAACUCAGUUCUAUUCUAUUUCCAAGUCUGUUCUGUGCAUUGUCACUGUACCAACAAGUCAUAUGCAGAAGUUCAAUAUUGGAAUGCGUGAGCUACUUUUCACCACUGCAGGAAUAUAUGCCUUAUAUUUUUGCCACUAUGGGAGACUGCUAUAUCUUGACUUCAGUAGCUAGUUUUCUCAUCAAAUGUUUUUGCUUAUGCCUUAACAAUUUUUGACAUGUUAAGUAAUCCAUUCCUUUUGCAUUUUUCCCCUUAUAGUGAGUUCACUGUGUAAAUCCUAGCUACACUACAAGAAUUGGUC
rnacentral:misc_RNA from 1 species